rnacentral:rRNA from 1 species
UACGUAGGGCGCAAGCGUUAUCCGGAAUUAUUGGGCGUAAAGAGCUCGUAGGCGGUUUGUCGCGUCUGCUGUGAAACCCCGAGGCUCAACCUCGGGCCUGCAGUGGGUACGGGCAGACUAGAGCGCGGUAGAGGAGAUUGGAAUUCCUGGUGUAGCGGUGGAAUGCGCAGAUAUCAGGAGGAACACCAAUAGCGAAGGCAGAUCUCUGGGCCGUAACUGACGCUGAGGAGCGAAAGGGUGGGGAGCAAAC